rnacentral:tRNA from 1 species
GCCUGGGUGGCUCAGUCGGUUGAGCGUCCGACUUCAGCUCGGGUCAUGAUCUCACAGUCUGUGAGUUUGAGCCCCGUGUCGGGCU